CCCUUAGUGCCCCCUGAACUAUCUAAAUAGUAUAUUAAAAAUAAAUGGCAUCAGACCGUGAGGGGGCAGGGCCACGUGGUCCCUCCACGAAAGCCACUUG
rfam:Carollia perspicillata clone 29G20, complete sequence.